UGGGGGAUAUUGCACAAUGGGGGAAACCCUGAUGCAGCGACGCCGCGUGGAGGAAGAAAGUUUUCGGAUUGUAAACUCCUGUCGUUAGGGACGAUAAUGACGGUACCUAACAAGAAAGCACCGGCUAACUACGUGCCAGCAGCCGCGGUAAAACGUAGGGUGCAAGCGUUGUCCGGAAUUACUGGGUGUAAAGGGAGCGCAGGCGGACCGGCAAGUUGGAAGUGAAAACUAUGGGCUCAACCCAUAAAUUGCUUUCAAAACUGCUGGCCUUGAGUAGUGCAGAGGUAGGUGGAAUUCCCGGUGUAGCGGUGGAAUGCGUAGAUAUCGGGAGGAACACCAGUGGCGAAGGCGACCUACUGGGCACCAACUGACGCUGAGGCUCGAAAGCAUGGGUAGCAAACAGGAUUAGAUACCCUGGUAGUCCAUGCCGUAAACGAUGAUUACUAGGUGUUGGAGGAUUGACCCCUUCAGUGCCGCAGUUAACACAAUAAGUAAUCCACCUGGGGAGUACGACCGCAAGGUUGAAACUCAAAGGAAUUGACGGGGGCCCGCACAAGCAGUGGAGUAUGUGGUUUAAUUCGAAGCAACGCGAAGAACCUUACCAGGUCUUGACAUCCGAUGCAUAGUGCAGAGAUGCAUGAAGUCCUUCGGGACAUCGAGACAGGUGGUGCAUGGUUGUCGUCAGCUCGUGUCGUGAGAUGUUGGGUUAAGUCCCGCAACGAGCGCAACCCUUAUUGCCAGUUACUACGAAAGAGGACUCUGGCGAGACUGCCGUUGACAAAACGGAGGAAGGUGGGGAUGACGUCAAAUCAUCAUGCCCUUUAUGACCUGGGCUACACACGUACUACAAUGGCGUUUAACAAAGAGAAGCAAGACCGCGAGGUGGAGCAAAACUCAAAAACAACGUCUCAGUUCAGAUUGCAGGCUGCAACUCGCCUGCAUGAAGUCGGAAUUGCUAGUAAUCGCGGAUCAGCAUGCCGCGGUGAAUACGUUCCC
rnacentral:rRNA from 1 species